UUCCCUGUGGAUAUGAAACCAUCGAACCUGCUGAAUGAUGGCGAUGCAACACUUAAAGACUGUCUUGAGGCUGCGAAACCAUCCGAUUACACCCUCACCAUGUACGAUCCUGUUGUACAAAAACGUGAUGACGGCACUUGCGCCAUAAUUUUCCGAGGGAGGAUGUUGGGCGGAAUGCCCAAAAGAGGCUCUAGUCACUUCGGUUUAGAUGCAGGUUCAUCAAGUGCUGAAGAGGACGCACCGCAGACUCCCAUUUCUCGAGCGCGGAAACGGAGAGCAAUUGAAGCAGAUUUUGGUCGAUCAAUAGAUGUCGUGGACGACGUUCUGGAUGAAGGAAAAACUGGAGGACCAUCCAAACGCCAGCGAAAAAUGAAGGAAUAUGUUGAUCCUUAUGCUGGAAUGACAGAGAAGGAGAAGUUGGAAGCCCAGGGACUCGACGAGACGUGGACCGAAUACAGCAUCCUCCUACUCGAACGUCCUGGACCUGGUAUCUUUUUCACUCCACCAGGCAAGCGACGGCCAGUCGGAAAAGCCCGGGGUCGCCCGGGUCGAAGUCGUAUUGCUGUCAUC
rnacentral:sRNA from 1 species